rnacentral:rRNA from 1 species
CACCAGCGCCACAAGUGGGGACCGGUAUUAUUGGGCCUAAAGCGUCCGUAGCCGGAAUAAUAAAUCUCUUGUGAAAUUGUUAGGCUUAACCUAACAGCGUGCAGGAGACACUGUUGAUCUUGAGACCGGGAGGAGUCAGAGGUAUUCAUGGGGUAGCGGUAAAAUGCGUAGAGAUUUGGAGGAACACCAGCGGCGAAGGCGCUCUACUGGGCCGUAACUGACACUGAGAAACGAAAGCUGGGGGAGCGAAUAG